AUGUCCAUAUUUUUAAAAAUGAAACUUCUGAUAAUACAGGCAUUCAUGCCUUGAUUCUUGAAGAACGGUGUUCCAAGUCUUUUUUUGAGUCAAGUAGUUGGCUCAGUUAAAAUAUUGUUGUCAUUUUAAUUUCCUGUGAAGGGUCUUUAUUACCUGUGGUAUUAGAGAGUAGGGUCCCUUACUAGUAGGGUGCAUGGUUUGGCCUGAGUGGCUAUUCUAUCUCUCUCUUUUCACAUGCUUAGUUCAAAGUCCUAUAUAUAUGUGUGUGCAUAUGCAUUCCUCUUGGCUAGCUCAAAUUGGAGCAUUUCCAUACCAUUAACAGCUCUUUGUGAAGAGGGGUUGGAGCUGUUUUUUCUUCUUUGAAACACCAAUGGCUGUUUUCUUCGUGGUUCUUGUGGUAGUUCUCUUUUUGUUCGGUAUCUCCUCUGCUUUGUUGAGGUGGAAUGAGGUGAGAUAUCGGAAGAAAGGGUUGCCUCCAGGCACCAUGGGAUGGCCAAUCUUUGGAGAGACCACUGAAUUUCUAAAGCAAGGCCCGAACUUCAUGAAAAAUCAGAGCGCAAGGUUUGGGAGUUUUUUCAAAUCCCAUAUUCUGGGGUGUCCUACCAUUGUUUCCAUGGAUCCAGAGCUCAACAGGUACAUACUACUGAACGAGGCAAAAGGCCUUGUUCCUGGUUACCCUCAGUCCAUGCUGGAUAUCUUAGGCAAUCGCAACAUUGCAGCAGUUCAUGGCUCCACUCACAAGUACAUGAGAGGGGCAUUAUUAUCCCUCAUUAGCCCCACCAUGAUCAGAGAAAAACUUUUGCCAACAAUUGAUGAGUUCAUGAGAACCCACCUCAGCGAUUGGGAUUCCAAAAUUAUUGACAUUCAACAAAUGACUAAAGAGAUGGCCCUUCUUUCUGCACUCAAACAAAUUGCUGGCAUUGAUUCUAGCUCAAUAUCUCAAGCAUUCAUGCCUGAGUUUUUCAAGCUGGUUUUAGGCACUUUGUCAUUGCCGAUUGACCUACCUGGCACUAAUUAUACGCGUGGAGUCCAGGCGAGAAAAAAUAUCAUAAGCAUGUUUAGGAAGGUAAUACGAGAGAGGAGGGAGUCAAGAUUAUCGCACCAGGACAUGCUUGGUAAACUGAUGAGAACUGAAGAAAAUAAAUACAAAUUAACAGAUGAAGAAAUAAUUGACCAGAUAAUCACAAUUCUGUACUCUGGCUACGAAACGGUUUCGACUACUUCAAUGAUGGCAGUCAAGUAUUUGCAUGAUCACCCAACAGUCCUUCAAGAGCUAAGAAAAGAGCAUUUGGCAGUAAGAGCAAAGAAAAGGCCUGAGGACCCAAUUGAUUUGAAUGAUCUUAAACCGAUGCGUUUUACUCGUGCCGUGAUUCUUGAGACGUCAAGAAUGGCGACGAUAGUAAAUGGGGUUUUGAGGAAGACUACUAGAGAAAUGGAACUGAAUGGAUUUGUGAUCCCAAAAGGAUGGAGGAUCUAUGUUUACACAAGAGAGAUGAACUAUGAUCCACAUAUAUAUCCUGACCCAUUAUCCUUCAACCCAUGGAGAUGGCUGGACACAAGUCUGGAGUCUCAAAACUAUCUCUUCAUUUUUGGAGGAGGUGCUAGGCAGUGUCCAGGGAAGGAGCUAGGAAUAGCUGAAAUCUCAACUUUCCUUCAUUAUUUCGUAACUCGAUACAGAUGGGAAGAGGUUGGAGGGGACAAACUAAUGAAAUUUCCAAGAGUUGAAGCACCAAAUGGGCUACACAUAAGGGUCUCAUCUCACUAACUAAUCAGUGACCUCUGGAUGUACAGAAAAGAAGAGGGAGAUAAUGAUGUUCUAACAGAAAGAUAUACAGCUUAUCAAGUAAUGCCACAGUAUCCAAGCCCGAGAAUUCCUUCAUCUUCCUGCAGAGUUUGCUAUCACAAUUUAACGAAAAUAAAAAUGGGAUUUAGAGAGAUGGGUCCUUGAGCCCUAUGCUGUUAAAGCCUAGCCCGAAAGACAGGAAACGGAAGAAAGACCAGACUCAAUGAAUGUUUGAACUUUGAACAUGUAAUUAAGUUAAGCCCUUGAAAUAGAAUGAUAGCUUCCUUUAUGCCCAAACACAUAGAUGCUCUUACAACUUGUUUGCACUUUCUUUUUUCAUUGGAAGACAUUAUAUAGACUUAGGCUCCGAACCUGAUGGAUACCCAUUAAAACCAAUCAGAAUGGGUUGAAUAUUCUGAGUAGUAUAUUCCGGGUAAAACUUGAACCAAAAAAAUCGGGUUUUCAACGGAUAGUCGAUACUACUUUACCCGAUUCAAAACCCAACUUAUACUUGAUCCGGAAUUUCUUUGUAUAAUAU